GCUGGCUUAGCUCAGUGGCAGUAGCGAAUCCUUUACACGGAUUAGGUCACAGGUUCGACCCCUGUAGCUAGCA